rnacentral:rRNA from 1 species
CUACCCAUGAGCAGGAUGAAGCGAAAGUAAAAUUUCGUGGAGGUCCGAACCCACGAGCGUUGAAAAGCUCGGGGAUGACUUGUGGGUAGCGGUGAAAUUCCAAUCGAGCCCGGAGAUAGCUGGUUCUCCCCGAAAUAGCUUUAGGGCUAGCCUCAAGGUGAGAGAUACGGAGGUAGAGCACUGAAUGUCCUAGGGGGUAUUGCACCUACCGAAGACUAUCAAACUCCGAAUGCCGUCAUCUUAUACUUGGGAGUCAGACUGUGGGUGAUAAGAUUCAUAGUCGAAAGGGCAACAGCCCAGAUCGUCAGCUAAGGUCCCUAAAUGUAAGUUAAGUGGUAAAGGAUGUGGGAUUGCACAGACAACCAGGAUGUUGGCUUAGAAGCAGCCACUCAUUCAAAGAGUGCGUAAUAGCUCACUGGUCGAGUGAUCCUGCGCCGAAGAUUUCCGGGGCUAAAACUUACUACCGAAGCUACGGCAUCAGUAAUGAUGGGUAGGGGAGCUUCCCAUA